UACGAAGGGGGGCGAGCGUUGUUCGGAAUUACUGGGCGUAAAGGGCGCGCAGGCGGCUCUGAAAAGUCAGAUGUGAAAGCCCCGGGCUUAACCUGGGAAUUGCAUUUGAUACUCUGGAGCUUGAGUACGGGAGAGGAUAGUGGAAUUCCCAGUGUAGAGGUGAAAUUCGUAGAUAUUGGGAAGAACACCGGUGGCGAAGGCGGCUCACUGGCCCGAUACUGACGCUGAGGCACGAAAGCGUGGGGAGCAAACAGGG
rnacentral:rRNA from 1 species